rnacentral:lncRNA from 1 species
AUGUGGCGGGCUGACCACUGGCAGGACAGUGGGGUGGGGCAGAUCCUCCACAGAGGGGCAGGGGGACAGCCAGGCACAGUGCUGGGAAAGACAAGGGAAGACAUUCCAUCUCGAGCCGGGAACCAGGGGGAGGUGGCCUGUGGCCAGGAGUCCGGGGCCUGGUGCAGGACCCACGGGAACAGGGGCCAACCUUGCCUGCAGGCAAAAGCAGCGAGGAAGCACUGGGGCCAGGAAGGCAGAGCCCAGUGCCUGGGGCUGUGCAGGAGCCCUGCACCGGGCACCCCUGCACACGCGACCUUGGCAGAGCCCAGUGCCUGGGGCUGUGCAGGAGUCCCAUCCCCUCAGGCCCUAGGCCCCGCACCAGGCACCCCUGCACACGCGACCUUGGCAGCUCCCAGCUUCUCUGCUGUUAGGUGUCCCAGCAUCCCCUGCCUGUGCUUCAUCGAGAACCCCCGAGGACAUCAGCCCACAAGGAAGGUGUCCCUCACAGUGGAGGACAAGCAGAGCACAGCAGACAAUGCUGGGGGCCCCUCCCCGGAGGCUGGACACCGCCCCACACGAGCCCUCCCAGGGGCUGGACACCGCCCCACACGAGCCCUCCCAGAGGCUGGACACCGCCCCACACGAGCCCUCCCAGGGGCUGGACACUGUGCCCCACACGAGCCCUCCCCGGAGGCUGGACACCGCCCCACACGAGCCCUCCCAGGGGCUGGACACCGCCCCACACGAGCCCUCCCAGGGGCUGGACACUGUGCCCCACACGAGCCCUCCCAGGGGCUGGACACCGCCCCACACGAGCCCUCCCAGGGGCUGGACACUGUGCCCCACACGAGCCCUCCCAGGGGCUGGACACUGUGCCCCACACGAGCCCUCCCAGGGGCUGGACACCGCCCCACACGAGCCCUCCCAGGGGCUGGACACCGCCCCACACGAGCCCUCCCAGGGGCUGGACACUGUGCCCCACACGAGCCCUCCCAGGGGCUGGACACUGUGCCCUACACGAGCCCUCCCAGGGGCUGGACACUGUGCCCCACACGAGCCCUCCCAGGGGCUGGACACCGCCCCACACGAGCCCUCCCAGGGGCUGGACACCGCCCCACACGAGCCCUCCCAGGGGCUGGACACUGUGCCCCACACGAGCCCUCCCAGGGGCUGGACACCGCCCCACACGAGCCCUCCCAGGGGCUGGACACCGCCCCACACGAGCCCUCCCAGGGGCUGGACACUGUGCCCUACACGAGCCCUCCCAGGGGCUGGACACUGUGCCCCACACGAGCCCUCCCAGGGGCUGGACACUGUGCCCCACACGAGCCCUCCCAGGGGCUGGACACUGUGCCCCACACGAGCCCUCCCAGGGGCUGGACACUGUGCCCCACACGAGCCCUCCCAGGGGCUGGACACUGUGCCCCACACGAGCCCUCCCAGGGGCUGGACACUGUGCCCCACACGAGCCCUCCUGCCUGCUCCCCAGGAGCACCUGCCAGGGCCGAGCGGCCUGGGGACAGCAUCCCGUCCUGGCAUUUAUUUAUUAAUUUAUAUAUUUGA